GCAGUAGUGAAAGGUUGUUUACCCCAAGUUUAAUGAUUUUGUUAUUGAGUAGCCUGUACCGGGACGGGGUAAAGACAAAGACAGCUGAGUAUGAGAUGAUGUAAUGAGAUGGUAUACAUGAAGGAAUGUAACUGCUAGAAGCGGCUUCGCCAUUAGAGAAGAUGUAGGGUGCUUAAUAAACGCUUGCUGUAAUUAGUAACUUCUGGCGUGUCGGGCGCUCGGUGAGGAGGAGAGCAGCUGGAGGGAGCUGCUUUGGAGACUUCCCAAGUACCUGGAGGAUGGGAAGAAGAGAGAAGGGAAAAGAGGGAGACAAAGUUGGAACACAAAGUUUUGCAAAGUUGAAAGGAAGGAAGGAAGAAAGAAAGAAAGAGAAAAAGGAAGAAAGAAAGAGAAAAAGAAAGAAAGAAAGAAAGAAAGAAAGAAAGAAAGAAAGAAAGAAAGAAAGAGAAAGAAAGAAAGAGAAAAAGGAAGAAAAAGAGAAAAGAAAAGAAAGAAAAAAGAAAAGAAAAUCAGUGGCAGCUGACUGAAGAAUAGACUGGACUAGAACAGGGAGAAAGACUUGAGGUAGUGCAGUGGAUAGAGUGCUGGGCCUGGAAUCAAGAAGACAUAAACAUAAAUUCAGCCUCACAAUCCCACUUGUGUGAUUUUGGGCAAGUCACUUACUUUCCUGGUCAGUUUCCUCAGUGGUAAAGUGAGAGAAAUAAUAGCACUUCCCUCUCAGGGUUGUUGUGAGAAUUGUCAAGAUAUGAAGAGAUGCCCUAUUUUCUAAAACACAGUAAGCAGGCUUUGCCCUAAAUUUGGCAUAACAAUAAUUUUUUGCAAUUACCCUCUAGCAAAAUCAUAUAAUUAUUGUAUUGCUUUGAAUAGCACCAGGUGUUCUUUGAGCUUGGCAAACACCAGACAAGUACCCAUGUUCUGGUCAUAAAGCCCUGCUGAGAAUCAAACUUCUGUCAUUGUUGCUGUUACCCCUCAUUGUCAGGGCUAUGGCUCUUGUGUAGCCAUCAGUCUAAGAAUGGUGGGGUCCUGGUAUAUGUGUCCUUCUUGCAAGCUGUUUUCCUCACUUUGAAAUUAAACUGUUUGAAUCCUGACUCUCCGGUCUCCAGCCUGCUCUGUUCAGCUCCAGUCAUCCACAG
rnacentral:lncRNA from 1 species